rnacentral:rRNA from 1 species
UACGAACCGUACGAACGUUAUUCGGAAUCACUGGGCUUAAGGGGUGCGUAGGCUGCGCAGCAAGUUGGGUGUGAAAUCCCUCGGCUUAACCGAGGAACUGCGCCCAAAACUGCUGUGCUCGAGGGAGAUAGAGGUGAGCGGAACUUAGGGUGGAGCGGUGAAAUGCGUUGAUAUCCUAAGGAACACCGGUGGCGAAAGCGGCUCACUGGAUCUCUUCUGACGCUGAGGCACGAAAGCUAGGGUAGCGAACGGG